GCAACCUUGUGUUCAUGGGUUUGAGUCUGGACACAGCCUCUCCACGAAGCGGGUGUAAGGCUGCGUACAUUAUGACCCUCCCCAGACUCCGCAGUGGUGGGAGCCUUGUGCACUGGGUAUGCCC